AAUGAUAAAAUAAAUCAAUAUCUUGUUUUAUUAUUUUUAUCUUGUUAUUAUGAAGAAAGGGAAUGUGGAGAAUCAAAAGGAGCACUUGAUUUUGCUACUUGCAAAUAUUAAUGCGAGGCAUCAUCCUAACCAUUCCCUGCUGGAUGUUGGCACUGUAAAGCACUUGAUGGACAAAGUUUUUGGGAACUACCGUUCUUGGUGUGCCUAUUUGCAUCAUAGACCAAAUUUUGAGCAACUAGGAAAGUUGGAAACACAUCAGUUAGAACUGCUUUACAUUGGUUUGUACUUUCUGAUUUGGGGUGAAGCUUCCAAUGUUCGGUUUAUGCCUGAAUGUAUAUGUUAUAUUUUCCACUUUGUAAGUGUUCUUCUUUUUCGCGUGGUUACUAGUCAUUGUUGGCAAUUGAUUUUUAUUUUUUCAUUAUUAAUCUUGUUAUUAUUUCGUUCCCCUGUUUAUCCCAU